rnacentral:rRNA from 1 species
UACGGAGGGUGCGAGCGUUACCCGGAUUUACUGGGUGUAAAGGGCGUGUAGGCGGCCUCUCAAGUCCGAUGCUAAAGACUGGGGCUCAACCCCAGGAGUGCGUUGGAUACUGUCAGGCUAGACGGUCGGAGAGGGUAGCGGAAUUUCCGGAGUAGCGGUGAAAUGCGCAGAUACCGGAAGGAACGCCAAUAGCGAAAGCAGCUACCUGGACGAUUUGUGACGCUGAGGCGCGAAAGCGUGGGGAGCAAACCGG